AGGCUAGCCAUUGCACUCCGGCUGUGCUGACCCCUGCGAAUUUCCCAAAUGUGGAAAUCUCGAUUGCAUAAUUUCUGGUAGUGGGGACUGCGUUCGCGCUCUCCCCU
rnacentral:snRNA from 8 species